UACGUAGGGUGCAAGCGUUAAUCGGAAUUACUGGGCGUAAAGCGUGCGCAGGCGGUGAUGUAAGACAGAUGUGAAAUCCCCGGGCUCAACCUGGGAACUGCAUUUGUGACUGCAUCGCUGGAGUGCGGCAGAGGGGAUGGAAUUCCGCGUGUAGCAGUGAAAUGCGUAGAUAUGCGGAGGAACACCGAUGGCGAAGGCAAUCCCCUGGGCCUGCACUGGACGCUCAUGCACGAAAGCGUGGGGAGCAAACAGG
rnacentral:rRNA from 1 species